rnacentral:rRNA from 1 species
AUUGAACGCUGGCGGCAGGCCUAACACAUGCAAGUCGAGCGGAUGAGAGGAGCUUGCUCCUCGAUUCAGCGGCGGACGGGUGAGUAAUGCCUAGGAAUCUGCCCAGUAGUGGGGGACAACGUUUCGAAAGGAACGCUAAUACCGCAUACGUCCUACGGGAGAAAGUGGGGGAUCUUCGGACCUCACGCUAUUGGAUGAGCCUAGGUCGGAUUAGCUAGUUGGUAGGGUAAAGGCCUUCCAAGGCGACGAUCCGUAACUGGUCUGAGAGGAUGGUCAGCCCCACUGGAACUCGGAAACGGUCCAGACUCAUACGGGGGGGAGCAGUGGGGGAUAUUGGAGAAGUGGCGGAAGACCGGACCAGCCAGGGCGCGUGUGUGAAGAAGGGCCUCGGGUCGUAAAGCACUUUAGUCGGGGAGGGAGGUAGAGCAGGAUAAGAGCUAGCUUUGCUGACGUUACCCGACGAGUAAGCACCGGCUAACUCCGUGCCAGCCGCCGCCGUAA